UAUAUAUAUAUAUAUAUAUAUAUAUAUAUAUACAUAUAUAUAUAUAUAUAUAUAUAUAUAUAUAUAUAUAUCUACAACUUUAAUAAAAGCGAAUAUUGUUAGACCCUUAACCGGAACAAAAAAAAUGUCGGUACACCACAUGCUCAACAAAAUUGUACUUUGCACUUUCCUAAUUGUACAAUGCCAACUUAAAUUCCUAAUA